rnacentral:rRNA from 1 species
UACGUAGGGUGCAAGCGUUAAUCGGAAUUACUGGGCGGAAAGGGCGCGUAGGCGGCCAUAUAAGUCGGAUGUGAAAUCCCGGGGCUCAACCCCGGAAGUGCAUCCGAUACUGCAUGGCUUGAGUUCCAGAGAGGGUAGGGGAAUUCCCAGUGUAGAGGUGAAAUUCGUAGAUAUUGGGAGGAACACCGGUGGCGAAGGCGCCUACCUGGAUGGUAACUGACGCUGAGGCGCGAAAGCGUGGGUAGCAAACAGG